rnacentral:rRNA from 1 species
UACAGAGGGGGCAAGCGUUGUUCGGAAUUACUGGGCGUAAAGGGCGCGUAGGCGGCCUUCUAAGUCGAACGUGAAAUCCCCGAGCUCAACUCGGGAACUGCGUCCGAUACUGGCGGGCUUGAAUCCGGGAGAGGGAUGCGGAAUUCCAGGUGUAGCGGUGAAAUGCGUAGAUAUUGGGAGGAACACCGGUGGCGAAGGCGGCCCCCUGGACCGGAACUGACGCUGAGGCGCGAAAGCGUGGGUAGCAAACGGG